ACAUCCAAAUACAGAUUCAUAAAUAACGAACAUAUUACAACUAUGCUCGAUAGGCCAUACCUAGGCCAAUAGCUUCCGAGCUCUUUGUGAUCCUCAUCCUCUUACAAGUCUCGGUGAACAUCCUGCCAAAACCAGGAACUACUGAGUUCAGAAUGACACUUACUUCCAUGGAACAUCACCAACCAGCAUCCAGUCACCGUCUUUAUCUUCAUAGGUCAGUACAUUCUCCGAACCAUGCAGGAGAUCCAUCAACCGACUCUCGCUCAAUCCAUCUCGACUGGAUACUCCUUGGGGACCACAUUGACCUAGAAAAGAAAUUGCAUAGACAGGAAAUAACUCCUAACUAAGAUGUUAUGAAUUUUUACCCUGGUAGAAAAUGAGGUUUGUAUACAAUUUGGAUGUAAGCACUUCUUGUAAUGUAUGCAUGCCAUGUUAUUAUAUACCAAGCUGACAAAUGUUACUCUUUCCAA